CUGAGAGAAACUCGAGGGUUUUUUUUUUCAGGAAGAAAACCUGCUCCCGACCAGAUAUCUGCAGUCCACACAGAGGAGGGGUCCCUUUCACUCUUCACUCAACUGUGAGUGGACAGAAAAGUGGGCGGGCUGCUGUGUGAGUGUGUUCAGAGGGCAAAGUUUUCCCUCAUGAAUGAACAGAAGCUUUGUGCACCAGCUGCAGAGAAAAACACGUUCCUGUUGGGAGACAGCGGCAGAACAAUCCAAGAUCAUUUCCCUCCGACUCAGAGGACAUGGCUGAGAAGAAGAAGAAAGCCGUUUUGUUUAACUUCUGGGGAGUUGCUGUCCCUUCCAGACCUCGUACAGUUUUCCAUAAACUGGAGGAGUUACACAACCUGCCAGGUGGUUUUCUGUCCAGUGUGGCGUCCCAGAAGGACAGUGCCAUGACCCGGGCGGAGAGAGGCGAGAUGACGCUUUCUCAGAUGAUCCCAGCGUUUGAGGCAGAGUGUGUGAAGGAGGCCAAGGUCCAGGGUGUGACUCUGCCGACUGAUUGGUCGGUCAGAGCCCUGCUGGAGGAACUCCGAGAGACGAUGACAGACAUCCAACAAGCCGUGCUGAAGACGGCUGCCAGUCUGCGUCACAGUGGUUUACUGACAGCCGUGCUGGCCAAUCACUGGCUAGAUGACAGUGCUGCUGGAGACGAUCACGCCCGCCUUCUCUCUCUGCUGGGCGGCCACUUUGACCUGGUCCUCCAGUCGUGUCGUUCGGGUCACAGGGUCCCCGAGCCCGCCAUGUUCAGCUCUGCUCUGCAGCACCUGGGAGUGACAUCCCAACAGGCGCUGUGGUUGGAUGCAGAUGAAGAAGGUGUGAAGGCAGCACAGGGAGCAGGGAUGAAGGCCAUCUUGGUGGAAAAUCUGUACGACGCUCUGAACCAACUGGCUGACUUUACUGGAGUUCAGGCCGUUGGAGCAGAGAGUCCUCCGCCGUCCUGCAGCCCCACUGAAGUGUCUCAUGGAUACGUCACCAUUAGGCCUGGCGUGAGGACUCAUUUUGUUGAGAUGGGCUCAGGUCCACCAGUGCUGCUGUGUCACGGCUUCCCUGAGAGCUGGUACUCCUGGAGAUACCAGAUCCCGGCCGUGGCAGCGGCUGGCUUCAGGGUGUUGGCUCUGGACAUGAAAGGGUACGGAGAGUCCACAGCGCCACCAGACAUAGAGGAAUAUUCUCAGGAGCAGCUUUGCAAGGAUUUAAUCACAUUUAUGGACAAAAUGUCGCUGCCACAGGUCACCCUGGUGGGCCAUGACUGGGGCGGCUUCCUGGUGUGGACCAUGGCUCAGUAUUACCCUGAGAGAGUGAGGGCUGUAGCGUCUCUGAACACUCCUCUGUUCCCUGUGGAUCCUGCUGUAAAUCCUGCAGAGAAACUGAAGGCUGUUCCCAUAUUUGACUACCAGCUCUACUUCCAAAAACCUGGCGUAGCAGAGGCCGAGCUGGAGAGAGACUUGGAGAGAACAUUCAAGAUUUUCUUUUUCAGCAGUGCUGAAGUGGGGACGCGUCCUGCUAUCAGCACUGCAGGCGUCUGUGCUCGAGGUGGUCUGUUUGUGGGUCUGCCGGAGCAGAUUCCCAGGGGCUGCAUGCUGACGGAGGCCGACCUGCAGUACUACGUCAGCCAGUACAAAGAGCGAGGCUUCAGGAGACCGUUGAACUGGUAUCGAAACGGAGAGGCCAACUGGAGGUGGAUGUGUUCUCGUCCUACUGGAAAGUUUAAAAGAUUUUCGAUUUUGAGAGGUGGCAAGCCGAGCCGGCCGCUCCUCAUUUGCAUACAGGAAAGAGGGCUGGAAAAUCGCAUUCACAUGUGAUGCGUUUGUCACGUUCAUCCCGCUCGUCAUUUCCGCUGCUGAUGCCUGCUCUGAUGGUGACGGCAGGUAAAGACCAGGUUCUGCUGCCGGCCUUCUCCAAGGGGAUGGAGGACUUGAUCCCGAACCUGAGCAGAGGACACAUUGA